CUAGGCAAGAAAUGGCAAACCUGGUGUUUCUUCACCUUGGACUUUUCUCAGUAUCUCUGUGCCUGUUUCAGUCAUGAGCAAAGUUCAAUGACAAACCAAGGAAAUGGGCCAAGCCGGUCUGGAGACUGAUGCUCCAAACAGCUGCCAGCACACGUACCUCUCCUGUCUGCUCCAAUCACUCGAUUCUCAUUUCCCCAUAAGCCCCUUCGCCUCCCUCAGCAGCCCCAGGACUCCCCGUGACUCUGUGAUCUCCACAAUCACUAGUGAAGGCUAGGACAACAACAAGCUUUUAUCAUCAUAUUCACCCCUUGCCAACAAAGCUGAAUGGUGCCCAGUUCUUUGAAACUUUCCUUUAGUCCUUGCCGCUGUGAUGGAUGAGCCUUCUCAUCAUGUGCUUUGUUUUAAGCUACCACAGAUCCAAACGCUAGUCUCUGCAGAUGAGAAAAGACAGGGGCAAAUACAUUUACUUUAUGAGGUUGUUCACAGUCCAUAAAACAUUCAGUUGAAAAAGGAUUUUUUUUUUUCAGACAGAGUCUCACUCUGUCAC
rnacentral:lncRNA from 10 species